UUUUCUUUCCUUUUUUCCCUUUUUCCCUCCUUUUCUCUCUUUCCCCCCUUUUCAUUUUUCCUUUUUUCCCCUAUUUUUUUUCCUUUUUAUUUUUAUUUUUUAAUCAUCAUUUUUUUCUUUUUGCAAUAGGAGUCUUUGCCUGCUUUUCUUUCUUGGUUCUGUACAAAGAAGCCUUGGAAGGUUAUCUGCUGCUAUCAGGAAUGCUACUCUUGGUCUUCCUCAGUUACCCAAACACGGAUUUCUGUGUUUUAAACUCUCAGUGGACGCUUUUUCCUUAUUAUAGCUAACGUAAAUCCAGGAGAUUGCAUAGAAGAGUUUCCUACAAAUCCCCUUCUUUCUCUUUGCGAUCCGGCAGCCAGAAAGCCUCCAUCCUCCAGUAAUUCGUUGUAGGCCCCAUUUGAACCCUCCCUCCCCUUUCGCCCGCGCUGCAGGAAAUGGACGCCUUACUCCCCCUGCCUCGCGUGAGCAGUGGUACAGCCCGCCCACCUCUCGCGAGAGCAGUGGUGCGGACAGCCCCCCGCCGUAGGGUGGUACAUCCUGAGCCCUUAUAAGCGGCGGCCGCGAUUCUUCCCGCCCUUUCUCCUCGUGCGGCAGGUGGGGUUUGGUGUUAUGGUGGCUCUCGGUAGAGCUGCGGUGAGGGCCCCCAUCCCCCGGGCAGCGGUGGUGCACGCCGUGCCUCCUCGUCCCCCAAGGGCUAUAGGCCCGACCGCUCGAGGUGGCAGUUGAGGGAGAUGAAGGAGAGCUGGCCUCGCUCCUCCCGUCCCCGCAGGCCCUUAUGGAGGCGGAUGGCGGUACCGCGCCCGGCCGGGAGUGCGCAGGCAGCGCUGGAACGGCCCUGCGGUCCGUCCUGAGAUCGACUGCUGAGGAGUACUGCUUUAAUGCUUGUUUGGUGUCUAUUCCCCCAGCGGAACGAUGCCCUGAAGCAAAGAAAGCUGGGAUUUGCAGAUGAUGUGAUACAAUAAGGAGUGGGAGCAGGCAUCUGUCUGGAGAUGGCCAUAAUGUGAAGCCCUUCAGAAGGCCUUGGGACAGAAGUGAGACUGCAAGGGCAAGAGAUUGUUCUGGGUGUUGAUGCUGAAAGCACAUUUGUUUGAGGAAGAAGGAACCCAAUGGAACAUGAGUGAGCUUGGCAACUGACCUUUGUAAACGUCACCUGUUUUUCUGUCCCUUCGGAGGACGAUGUGCUCAGGUUUGCUCAGGCCGUCCCUUACUCAGCUGUAGUUCAACAUGGCCCACAACAACAGCAGAUGAAACACUCUACAUCUCUUCUACCUCCUUCAGAUGACCUCAAGAUGGUCUGCCAGCGUUCCCAUAAAGCUGCGUCAUCUCCAUACUACAGAGGAAGAGUGUGGGGAUCACUGACUGUAGCAGUGAGUGAAUAAAAUCUUUAUGCUGAGUGCUCCUCGGGAUGGGAAACACACAGAGAACCUGCUGUGAAGAUGAUGAGAAUUGUCUCAAAGCAAGAUACAAACCUGCAGCUAUGAGAUGCCACGGUGAAUACAGAAAAUAACGGAGAAUCUCUGAACCAAAGUUGGAUUUGAUAGGAUCAAGAAGCAAGAUGGGCAGUGCUGGCAGCCUUGGGAUUCAGGUGGAGCAGCAGCACAGGUCAGACGUGGUAGAGGGAGAAGAGUUGGUGCCCGUCUCUGUUGUGAAGACAACACGGAGGUAGGAAAAAUGGUGGCUUCCCAGGGAAUGUGGUGUCUGAUUCCACCCUUUGGGUUUUUCUAGCGGUGAAGAGGGAGGAGGAAGCAGCAGUGGGCUGCAGCUGCUGGGUGGGAUUGCAGGAGGAGCUCCUCGUGAGGGGCAGCU
ensembl:lncRNA